CUUAUUUUAAAUGCAGAGGACAAAGCUGAAGUGCAGGAGCAAGGACCUUUCCAGGCUUGACUGGUGCCGAAUUGGGAAGAGCAGUGGGAAGCACAACACAGAUCAGUUAUCUCAGAGUUACUCCUCUGUGUUUUUAACCAGAAGGACCAGUCUCAUGCCAGUGCUCCAAAGCUACUUCCACUGCCAGAAUUAGCAGUUCAGCAUAAAAGGGAACGAACCUAUGUUGAAUCCAGGCUUAAAUGUCUAACUUUUGGAAAGCUUAGUAGGAGGCUGAGUUACGUGUUGGAGCUGUGUCUCGUAUUGCUGAAAGAUUUCAAUCAAGAUCAAACAAGAGUUUUUGGCAUUUUCAGUCUGACGUACUAAUACAGUAACAUUAUCUGGAGUUGGGGAGUGAGCAGCUCUGGACUGGCUUUUAAUUCAAACCAGGCAUUAGAGUACAUGUGUUGACCUAUGGGCUUUUCCAAAACCAAAUAAGAGCAGAGGAAGUGAUGACUAGAAAAUAUUUUCAUGCAUUUUGGAUGGAAAUGACAGCCUCUCAUCCUUCAGACUCUGUGAAAAAGCAGGAAUGGUAUUUUGUACAGCCAGGAUGGUCUGCCUGAGUGUAUACUAAACUGGGAUCAGCUUGUUACAGACUUUCUGCAUGAACUGGGAUUAAAUAAACCUGCCUUUUUCAGAGAUGUAAAUUUUAUUUUAAAAGGGGAGCUGGAAGAUCAGACCAACGUCUGAAAUAAGGUCAUGUGAUCGUGCAUUACUUGUCUUAAAGGGUUAAAAGUCUGACCUGCAGGCUUGUUGGAUUAUUAACAAGAGAGCUUGUCAUUGUGUUAGAGUUAGUGAAGAUAUUUUGCAGAGAGCAACACAAGCUUCUUUUGAUGCAAGCAGGGACUUGCUGUUAUACCCAGGG